AGGCGACAGGGUAUUGGGCAGCCACAGGUCUGGUGGCUGUGCCUCAGGAGCACUGGUUUGGUUUUAAUCAGCCUCUUGGUCAGGAGGGGAGUGGAAGAAGCAACUGUACCUGAGGCCCUGCAGAGCAGAGGCCACCCGUUGUGGUCUAGGGACCUUGAUGCAGCGGUGAACUGAGAGCGGCUUUUAGGGGCCAACCUCGCAGUGUUUCCAAGUCUAAGCAAGAAACCAAAGACACCGAUUCAUUGCACAUUUCCAACUGGAAAUUAGUCUGGCUUGAAAAAUGGUUUGCCCAGCUGUGGUACAGCAGUCAGAACCCACGAGGCCCAACAGACUGGCCUGUAGUGGGCUUCCGGCGCCUGCUUGCAUUUGCACAACCAAGUCUCCACUGGAAAAGGGAAAAAGAAAGAGAGCAGAAAGAUGGAAUGUAAGCUGUAAGUUAUUAUCCUCUCCCUUUGUUUUGCACAAGUAUUUGUGUUCCAGUUUGGACUUCCUAGGUACAUAAGAUGCUGAAGUCACAUCUGGAAACUAUUCUUUAAGCUUUUAGGCUUGGUUUACGUUUCUCUCCAUUACCUGGUGGUGGUGUGGGCUUUUAAUACUUAUUAAAUAAGUACUGAAGUAGACUUACUUUACAGGAGAGAUGACCAGUGUCUGGAGAGGCAGGAAAAUAAACUCCAGUGGUUGGGUGCUGGUAGCAAAUUCACAUUAACCUCUCUGUUUGACAUUGGAAACUGGUUCGUGUAUCUGAAUCCACUGCAGAGUAUUGUGUCCAGGGUUUUACACCAUUAAUUCAGAAACCUGACCUGGAAAUACAUUCUGGAAAACCAGAAAACCCAUUUGGUUGAGUGGAACAGCCAGGUGGGUUAGUAAGGAUGGUUUACAGAAGGUGUGGAUGUGCCAGGGGAAAACUGAAGGACUGAGGCUGUAAGUAGAAGAGCAUAUCCUAGGGGGUUGGAGGAAUGAACACUGGUCUAGUACAGGGUAGAUAUGAAGAUACUGUGCAGGAGGUGGGGGAGGCUGGAAACUCUGGGUGGGAACAAGUCCUGAUAAUGAAGUAAAAUAUUCUGGUCACAUAGAAAUAUUUCUGUAAUAAGUUUUGGGGAAAAAUUAAAGAUAUCUGGCAUGCUCUAAAAUGUGGCCCAAGAGUAGAGAUACUUUUCCAUGUAGACAGGUUGGCACAUCCAAUGCUGCGCUACUUGCGGAAGACGUGGGCAGAGCCUUGGGGGAAGCCCUGAGGCUGGCGUCACGGUGUCUGGCCUGAUGGCCCAGGCCGGCGAAGGCCAGUCAGGGGUUCCUGGAACAUCAGAACAUUAACCUCCACUCAUAUUUAGGGUCUGGGGUUCAGUUCAGAUGAAGUGAGUUUUGUGGUAUAAAGUAUAUGAGAGCAAGGAGAUAUUUAAAAUUGAUUUUUCAAAACAGCCAAGGAAAUGUUCUUAAAUUUUUAAACAAAGAAAUUUCAAGUUGAGUUUAGCUCAAAUACAAUUUGGGGGGAGGGGGAAAAUGAUAAUUUCGUAGCCAAGAAGUUGUCAGCCAUGAUGCCAGAGUAACCAAUUAGUGGUGGGAUUUUCUUUAUCAAUGGAUUCUUUCUUCUCCUGGUAUUUAGAGGAAUUAUAAAAUUGUCCCCAUUUCUCUUAGUAUUACAGAGGUGGGCAAAAGUAGUUUUAUAUUGUUAUACAAAUAACAAUAAUUAAUAACUGAAGAAUAAACUCUGUUUCAUGUACUCACAAACUGUAAACCCACUUUUGCCCACCCUUUACUCUGGAAAAUGCUUUGCUGUUUUGGGGCUGGCACUGUGUCUGUCACCUGGAGAGAGGAUGUGUUCAGUGUGUCCAGGGGCCCUCAGGAUGCCUCCUCCAUAGCAAGUGGCUGUCAUUGUGGUAACGUGGUUGUCAGGAGGGCGUCCCAUUAGGAACAGUCUGGAAGCAGGGUAUGCGAGUACUCCAUUGCCUGUCCCAUCUGGCAGCCCCUGGUGCCCGACUGCGCCUGGUUUCAGAGGUCUCUGCAUCAGAUCAGCUUGGUUGCAGUGGUGUGUGGGCUGGUUUCCAGACCCGUGUGGGGUUUGUGAUGCAUUCUGAACCAGACCAGUGUGUCUAGGUUGCUUUCAUGAGGGAAGGGCUGCCCCCGCAGGGGUGAGGCAUGUCACUGGUGUGAUGUUAAAUGUCCACAGCAUCCCCUGCAGUUCUCAUUUAAGGGCAGUACAAUGUAAUUGCUAACUACCUGCCCUGUGUUUACUGAACUGGCAGGCAUGCUUGCGAUGUUUAUGAAACAGCUUACUGUCGGAAGGCUACUACUGAAUAUGCCCCUUCCAGUCCUCGGCCCAGGCCAGUGUAAUUCGUGGCUUUGUAGUACUGGCUCUUCCUGGAAACAGCAGUCCUCUGGUAGCUGAUGCCAUAUUAGCUUUAAGUGCUAAGUAGAUAUUCUCAGGCCCCUUCCUGCUGCUGCCAUCAUUCUAUAAAUCACACAACAUCAAUUCCCCACCAAAUAACAGCUUAAAAUAGAACACUGUCAAGCCAGUUUACACUCCAUCCUUAAAUCACAUCAUUGAGGAAAUAUUUAGAGAGAAUGGAGUCGACUUUUUGUUUUUUUGUUUGAAUGACCAUCAUAAACCUAAUGCUUUUUAAAGAAAGAGCGCCUGGAAGACGAAGCCUUGUUUUCAGGAUAAUUCUGCCUCAGUAAAUCCUCUCCACGUCCCAGCAUUUAUUGGGCCAUUACUUGUUCUGAGGACUGAUUACCCAGGCAGCUCAUUAACUGGAUAAACGGGCUUUAGUGAAAGAGUUUCGGUGAAGUCCUGUAGGGAGCACAGGCACGCGGUGGGAGGAAGCUUCAGUUCUGCAGCUUCUGCACUUGGGAUCUGAAAUGAAGAAAGAUUUUAGGCAGGACUGACCCUUCCUGUCCUGUUGGGUCAUUGUGAGUUUUGUUCCUGUUUUACAUGUGAGCUGACCUAACUCGCUGUCACUCACAAGUAGCAAGGCUGCUCGUAGGUUCUGCCAGCACGAGUUCAGUAUGUCCUUUAGGCACCUCUGGGGGCACUUAGGUUUCCUAUGUCAUUGCAGAGCCUGACAAGAGUGAUGGAAGCUCUUAGGCCAAAUUAUAAAUUUCGUGGAGCUGAGACUGCAGAAGUCUGUGCUGUUUAGCGCAUCAGCUGACUUUUCACUGGCACAAGUCUACACAAGGCCCACCUAUAACUAGCCCUUUUUUGCCCUGGAGACAUUUAAAAGAGGGAAUUUGGUACUGACAAUGUUACUUAAUUGAUUUCUGCUAAGUUGUUUGAUGAAGGCAGGCAGUGAGAUUGGAUUUUAGUCAGAUGCGUUGCACUUCACAAUCGGGGGUCAGCUCUCUUCUUUAACAAUCCCCGGGUGCAUUUGUCUCCAAUCUGCUGAAGAAGCAUGGCGGCCGUUUCCACGCGGCUUCUGUAAUAAGGAACAUGGCCUUUCAGAGAGAUUUAGUGUUCUUUUCCAAAAUAGUCACCAUGCGGAAUCCUUGAAUGAUGCAGCUAAAUGCAACAGAAAUGAAAAACACAACAAAUUGUGGGUGGUGGCCAUAAGCUGUACAUUGAAUUAACCAGCUAACUCAAAGCCCCAGGAGGAUGUGUUACUUUCAAAAAUUUCAUGGCCUUCUUCCAACCUUCUUAUUGUAAAGGUUAGCAAUAAUUACAAAAAAGAUGGGCAGUGUGUGAAGCUCAGGUAACACAUCCUUAACUUGGCAUAAAUAAUGAUCAACAUGCUUUUUCCUGGGCUACCUGCACCUUGACAGGUAGGAACAGUUCACCGUGAUGCACAGGCCUGCAGACAGGAAGCUCCUUCCUAGACGAAGAGAUCCAACAAAGUGGGCACCAACUUCUCAUACAAAGGGGCCCCCCAACAAAUUCAUUUCAUUUUAUAAAUUAAUGAACUUUUACUAAGUACUUAUUCUGUGCCAAGAAGCACGGUGAGUCCUGAGGCUGACAUUCCUCCCCUCCCACCAUAACCAACCAAGCAACCUCCUCAAGCAACACAACACAUAGCCUGCACCUGGCCAGGCUGACCUGGGGGACAGCCUGUUUCUAACACAUUCCCCUCCCAGCUUACAGGUGUGCGGAUUCCAAAGACAGAUGGCAAUGGCUUCACCUAUGGUGCCACAGGUGAAGCCAUUGCCAUCUGUCAUUGGAAUCCGACAGCUUAUACAUUUUAAUGAGAUUUGCCCCUAAAUAGCAAACAAACAGACUAAAUCAUACCCUUGCAAAGAAGUACUGUAUUUAACAUUGUAUUUCUCUGAGGCCUAUUAUGAGCAGAGCCAGAUUUGGUGGAUUUCUUAGGGUACGUGAACAUAUCUUCCAAAUAUCUAGUCAGGUUCCAAGUAAGGUAUCUGAGCUGUGGUUGGAUUUUUCUUUUUCUCAUAAGCAGUUAUAACCACACAACAGUCUGAUUUUUAGGGUUUCAGUACCGCAGCAGCCAUCAGAGUUGGACCACAGUCAGCUUGGUGAAGCUCUGGGAAUGGCCAGUCCAUAAUACAGCGUGCACUUGACAUAACAGUUUAAGCCAGCCCUUGAUUUCCAAUGGUUUGAAAAGCUCCUCCAGUGCAUUCUGUAAAGUUUGAUGACUAAGAAGCCAGACCUUUGUAAAAUAAUGAUCCUGCCAGAUUCCAACCUCACACUGCCCUUGCCUGUUUGUAAUUAAUUCCGAGACUUGUGUGGUGAGAGAGAAUGGACUUGCCUUUCUCUCUUGAAAAGAAAAGAGGUUCAGUGGUAAUACUUUACUUUUAGGCCCAGUGGUUGUCAGUAUUGGGACAGAAUGUGGGGCACAUGGCUUCCUGGGUGGUAUAACAUAUUCUAAUUCUAAAUCAGCCAGAGGGACGCUUCUUUCAUUACCUAGUUAGGAAGUCCUGCGUCUGUGACAUUCACUGCUAAACUGGUGAUGAGGGAAGGUCCACUUUUCUCCAGUUGCCACUGGAGCACCAUUCAUGCUGGCAAUGUUUAUACUUUUCUUCGUAGGCUAAAGAAUUCAGUGUAAAAGUAGGGCUUCCAAAAUGUUCCCUCUCUCAUUUAUGUCACAAUUUGACAUGUGCUUUUAAAAACCACCACUUACAAAACUGGUCUUUAAGCAUUGUGAGUCAGAGGUAAAAAGGCAAUAAAAUGGAUAAAGGGGCGUCCCAGUGCGAUGGACAGAAAUAGUAUUACUGUCAUGAGAACAGCGGCAAAGGCACCCGACUUCACGGAGAUGCUGUUAACGGCACCACAAUUACCAUUAAAGGUCAAAAUUUUGAUUUGUCAGUUUAUAAUCUUAUUCUUUCCAGGCAAAACAGAUCAAUUUAAUGUUACAACUUAUUUCUCUUUUUAUCUCUUUUGGCCUGAGGGGGCAGGGGAAUUGUCAACUGCGCAAUCUUUAAAGUGUAUGUUAAUUUUUAAUGUGGUAUUUCAGUACAUAUUUUAUUCAUUAAAUUUAUUUGAAAA